GCCAGAAAUUUUACUCAGGCAGAGCUAGUUCCAAUCGUGGGGAGACAAUGAAGGUUCUGUUUCUCCUGUCCUUGGUGGCGUGCGCCUGGUGUGCCCCAAGUGGGCCAAAACCGAGGGAAUCCAAAACAACAGGCGACUGCGUUCACAACGGGUCUGUCGUUAGUCACGACUCGUUUUUCAUGGACGGCGGAGACAUAUGUUACUGCAUAUACCAACAAGUAAGCUGCGGGUUAUUCCACGAUUGGUGUAUGUAUGGAGGCAACUAUUACCCGCCGGGUUCCUUAAUCAGCUCGAAUACUUACAGCGAUGGAUGUACUACAUCAGUGUCCUGCUCCCAUGGCGGAGGUAUAACCGUCGGGGACAGCGCCGAAUGCUUUUAUUAAUGUCUGUGUCUAAAGUGACAGAGAAAUUCAGCUGUCUUGUCGGCUUGGGGGAAACCUGCCCUCCCACGUGAAGAGACCGACAUUACUGACAAUAAAAGUAACUGGCAACAGACAA